rnacentral:rRNA from 1 species
UACGAAGGGGGCUAGCGUUGCUCGGAAUCACUGGGCGUAAAGCGCACGUAGGCGGAUUGCUAAGUCAGGGGUGAAAUCCUGGAGCUCAACUCCAGAACUGCCUUUGAUACUGAAGAUCUUGAGUUCGGGAGAGGUGAGUGGAACUGCGAGUGUAGAGGUGAAAUUCGUAGAUAUUCGCAAGAACACCAGUGGCGAAGGCGGCUCACUGGCCCGGUACUGACGCUGAGGUGCGAAAGCGUGGGGAGCAAACAGG